AUGUGUGCCCAUGUGUGGGG
rnacentral:misc_RNA from 1 species